UGGGGAAUAUUGCACAAUGGGCGAAAGCCUGAUGCAGCGACGCCGCGUGAGGGAUGACGGCCUUCGGGUUGUAAACCUCUUUCAGUAGGGACGAAGCGCAAGUGACGGUACCUGCAGAAGAAGCACCGUCUAACUACGUGCCAGCAGCCGCGGUAAUACGUAGGGUGCGAGCGUUGUCCGGAAUUACUGGGCGUAAAGAGCUCGUAGGCGGUUUGUCACGUCGUCUGUGAAAUCCUAGGGCUUAACCCUGGACGUGCAGGCGAUACGGGCUGACUUGAGUACUACAGGGGAGACUGGAAUUUCUGGUGUAGCGGUGGAAUGCACAGAUAUCAGGAAGAACACCGAUGGCGAAGGCAGGUCUCUGGGUAGUAACUGACGCUGAGGAGCGAAAGCAUGGGUAGCGAACAGG
rnacentral:rRNA from 1 species